UUAACUUAAAUUUGUAUGCAGUUGGGACAGCGCCCCUAGCGGCAAACGUAGGCAAACUUUCCAACUCUAUACAAAUUUCAGUUA
rnacentral:pre_miRNA from 1 species